GACGAACGCUGGCGGCGUGCUUAACACAUGCAAGUCGAACGGAAAGGCCCUGCUUUUGUGGGGUGCUCGAGUGGCGAACGGGUGAGUAACACGGGAGUAACCUGCCCUUGACUUUGGGAUAACUUCAGGAAACUGGGGCUAAUACCGGAUAGGAGCUCCUGCUGCAUGGUGGGGGUUGGAAAGUUUCGGCGGUUGGGGAUGGACGCGCGGCUUAUCAGCUUGUUGGUGGGGUAGUGGCUUACCAAGGCUUUGACGGGUAGCCGGCCUGAGAGGGUGACCGGCCACAUUGGGACUGAGAUACGGACCAGACUCCUACGGGAGGCAGCAGUGGGGAAUAUUGCACAAUGGGCGGAAGCCUGAUGCAGCAACGCCGCGUGCGUGAUGAAGGCCUUCGGGUUGUAAACCGCUUUCGCCUGUGACGAAGCGUGAGUGACGGUAAUGGGUAAAGAAGCACCGGCUAACUACGUG
rnacentral:rRNA from 1 species